GAGUCAAAUUUGCUACACUGGAUAUACUAAGGGGAAAUUGAAGAAGAAGCAGAAGAUGAUACUUUGUUGGUGACUUAUGGUCUCGAAAGAAUGUUGUUAAGGUCAUUGUUGAAUACUACGAAAGAAGAAGCAUCGAUAGCAUCAUUGUAUGGACACAGCAUUAGACUUUUGGGACCAAAGUCACCAACACAGUCUCAAAUUUCUCAUCUCCAAAACAAAUCAUCUCAGUGACACAGCCUGAGAUAUCAGUCAGUCUCCCUGCAUAUAUGAAGGUGUUUUGGAACAUCCAACAACUUUGUUUCCUUGAUUAAUGAUUUCUAUUGUUAUAUGUUUUUGUAUAUUAGUGGCAUUUUGUUCUCCUUGGAAAAUGUACCAUAUACAUGCAAUCGGUGUAAUCUUUAUUUUAUAUUCGCGAAAUACAUAAAUGGCCCUUUAAAUUA